UACGAAGGGGGCGAGCGUUGUUCGGAAUUCCUGGGCGUAAAGGGCGCGUAGGCGGUCCUUCAAGUCAGGCGUGAAAGCCCCGGGCUCAACCUGGGAACCGCGCUUGAGACUGGCGGACUCGAGUUCGGGAGAGGAUGGUGGAAUUCCCAGUGUAGAGGUGAAAUUCGUAGAUAUUGGGAAGAACACCGAUGGCGAAGGCAGCCAUCUGGACCGACACUGACGCUGAGGCGCGAAAGCGUGGGGAGCAAACAGG
rnacentral:rRNA from 1 species